rnacentral:rRNA from 1 species
CCUACGGGAGGCAGCAGUGAGGAAUAUUGGUCAAUGGGCGCGAGCCUGAACCAGCCAAGUCGCGUGAGGGAAGACGGUCCUAUGGAUUGUAAACCUCUUUUGUCGGGGAGCAAAAGACGCCACGCGUGGCGUUCCGAGAGUACCCGAAGAAAAAGCAUAGGCAAACUCCGUGCCAGCAGCGCCGGUAAUACGGAGGAGGCGAGCGUUGUCGGGAUUGAUUGGGUUUAAAGGGUGCGCAGGCGGAAGAUCAAGUCAGCGCUAAAAUUGAGGGGCUAAACCUGUUCGAGCUGUUGAAACUGGUCAUCUUGAGUGAGUGAGAGGUAUGCGGAAUGCGUGGUGUAGCGGUGAAAUGCAUAGAGAUCACGCAGAACUCCGAUUGCGAAGGCAGCAUACCGGCGCUCAACUGACGCUCAUGCACGAAAGUGUGGGUAUCGAACAGGAUUAGAUACCCCUGUAGUC